UACAGAGGGGGCAAGCGUUGUUCGGAAUUACUGGGCGUAAAGGGCGCGUAGGCGGCUCGCUAAGUCGAACGUGAAAUCCCCGAGCUCAACUCGGGAACUGCGUCCGAUACUGGCGGGCUUGAAUCCGGGAGAGGGGUGCGGAAUUCCAGGUGUAGCGGUGAAAUGCGUAGAUAUCUGGAGGAACACCGGUGGCGAAGGCGGCAUCCUGGACCGGCAUUGACGCUGAGGCGCGAAAGCUAGGGGAGCAAACGGG
rnacentral:rRNA from 1 species